CAGCAGCCGCGGUAAUACGUAGGUGGCAAGCGUUGUCCGGAAUUAUUGGGCGUAAAGGGCUCGCAGGCGGUUUCUUAAGUCUGAUGUGAAAGCCCCCGGCUCAACCGGGGAGGGUCAUUGGAAACUGGGAAACUUGAGUGCAGAAGAGGAGAGUGGAACUCCACGUGUAGCGGUGAAAUGCGUAGAGAUGUGGAGGAACACCAGUGGCGAAGGCGACUCUCUGGUCUGUAACUGACGCUGAGGAGCGAAAGCGUGGGGAGCGAACAGGAUUAGAUACCCCUGUAGUCCCUGUCUCUUAUAA
rnacentral:rRNA from 1 species